UACGUAGGGUGCAAGCGUUAAUCGGAAUUACUGGGCGUAAAGCGUGCGCAGGCGGUUUGUAAGUCUGUCGUGAAAGCCCCGGGCUCAACCUGGGAAUUGCGAUGGAGACUGCAAGGCUUGAAUCUGGCAGAGGGGGUAGAAUUCCACGUGUAGCAGUGAAAUGCGUAGAGAUGUGGAGGAACACCGAUGGCGAAGGCAGCCCCCUGGGUCAAGAUUGACGCUCAUGCACGAAAGCGUGGGGAGCAGACAGG
rnacentral:rRNA from 1 species